rnacentral:rRNA from 1 species
CGGCGGACGGGUGAGUAACACGUGGGUAACCUACCUAUAAGACUGGGACAACUUCGGGAAACCGGAGCUAAUACCGGAUAAGAUAUCGAACCGCAUGGUUCGAUAGUGAAAGAUGGUUUUGCUAUCACUUAUAGAUGGACCCGCGCCGUAUUAGCUAGUUGGUGAGGUAACGGCUCACCAAGGCAACGAUACGUAGCCGACCUGAGAGGGUGAUCGGCCACACUGGAACUGAGACACGGUCCAGACUCCUACGGGAGGCAGCAGGG